GACCACAUGGAAGUCACCAGCCCUAACCAGCCCAUGUCCCGACCUCAGGCUGAUGAAACUAGGAAGAUGGAGCCUCACCCCCACUGCUUGAAGAGUAUCCUAAUAAAAGACAAAAUAGCUUUCAUAGAUGUUCUGCCCAGGGGAUGUCCCUCAAGAAACUAUGUAAACCACAUUGCUGGUUCUUCCUGGCCCUGCGGUCCAUAAUGAGAAAUGAUUGGCACUAAGCAAGAGUGUGAAAUCGACCCCCUUGGCAAGAUUCAGAAGCACAAGAAGCCUGACAGUGACUGUCUGUCUGUACAGUGUCUAUUUACCUUGUUUGGUAUGAGUUCAUGUGCAGAAUCCAAGGAAAAGGACCAGCAGGCUUGCUGAAGCUGGCCACCGCAGCACCUGGAGAUGGAAAAAGCACGGGACUAGGCGCCUCUCAGAAGCCAAGGGAGAGGACCCUGCACUAGGGAGAAAAGAAGGCCACCUUGAUCAAUUCUACUGGUGCUAACCCCUGCUUCUUCC